rnacentral:rRNA from 1 species
GAUGAACGCUGGCGGCGUGCCUAAUACAUGCAAGUAGAACGCUGAAGGAGGAGCUUGCUCUUCUGGAUGAGUUGCGAACGGGUGAGUAACGCGUAGGUAACCUGCCUGGUAGCGGGGGAUAACUAUUGGAAACGAUAGCUAAUACCGCAUGACAACAGUUAUUGCAUGAUAACUGUUUAAAAGGGGCAACUGCUCCACUACCAGAUGGACCUGCGUUGUAUUAGCUAGUUGGUGAGGUAACGGCUCACCAAGGCGACGAUACAUAGCCGACCUGAGAGGGUGAUCGGCCACACUGGGAGUGAGGCACGGCACAGACUCCUACGGGAGGCAGCAGUAGGGAAGCGUCGGCAAUGGACGGAAGUCUGACCGAGCAACGCCGCGUGAGUGAAGAAGGUUGUCGGAUCGUAAAGCUCUGUUGUAAGAGAAGAAAGAGUGUGAGAGUGGAAAGUUCACACUGUGACGGUAUCUUACCAGAAAGGGACGGCUAACUACGUG